rnacentral:snoRNA from 1 species
GGCCCUAGUGUGUGUAAGUUAUAUACAGAGAUUUAUAGACAGGUGCAAAAAAUAAAUCUUUUGCCACUCAAAACUCAUUGUUCAGUAUGUUUUGAUGCAUAUAAGAAGGGUUUUU